UACGUAGGGGCGAGCGUUAUCCGGAAUUAUUGGGCGUAAAGGGUUCGCAGGCGGCCUUGUAAGUCAGAUGUGAAAGACAGCGGCUUAACCGUUGUAAGCAUUUGAAACUGCAGGGCUUGAGUACAGGAGAGGAAAGCGGAAUUCCUAGUGUAGCGGUGAAAUGCGUAGAUAUUAGGAGGAACACCAGUGGCGAAGGCGGCUUUCUGGACUGAUACUGACGCUGAGGAACGAAAGCGUGGGGAGCAAACAGGAUUAGAUACCCGCGUAGUCCCUGA
rnacentral:rRNA from 1 species